AGUUUCCGGGCUUGCUCGGAAAUUAGUGGCGAACGGCUGAGUAACGCGUAGGUGACCUACCCCGUAGUGAGGAAUAACUGCCCGAAAGGGUAGCUAAUACCUCAUGUUGAGACGCUUUCAUUAGCGUCUCCAAAGCAGCAAUGCGCUAUGGGCGGGGCCUGCGUUCGAUUAGCUAGUUGGUGAGGUAAUGGCUCACCAAGGCGACGAUCGAUAGGUGGUCUGAGAGGACGAUCACCCAGACUGGGACUGAGACACGGCCCAGACUCC
rnacentral:rRNA from 2 species